rnacentral:rRNA from 1 species
CCUACGGGUGGCAGCAGUGAGGAAUAUUGGUCAAUGGGCGCGAGCCUGAACCAGCGAAGUAGCGUGAAGGAUGACUGCCCUACGGGUUGUAAACUUUUUUUAUAGAGGAAUAAAGUGCGGCACGUGUGUCUUUUUGCAUGUAUUUUAUGAAUAAGGAUCGGCUAACCCAGUGCCAGGAGCCGCCGUAAUACGGAGGUACCGAGUGUUACGCGGAUUUAUUGGGUUUAAAGGGAGCGUAGAUGGGUUGGUAAGUCAGUUGUGAAAGUUUGCGGCUCAACCGUAAAAUUGCAAUUGAUACUGGCAGCCUUGAGUACAGUUGAGGUAGGCGGAAUUCGUGGUGUAGCGGUGAAAUGCUUAGAUAUUACGAAGAACUCCGAUUGCGAAGGCAGCCUACUAAACUGCCACUGACAUUGAUGCUCGAAAGUGUGGGUAUCAAACAGGAUUAGAUACCCGGGUAGUC